rnacentral:rRNA from 1 species
CUGGGAUUAGAUACCCUGUUAUUUAAAAUGUAUUUAAAAAUUAAGGUAGUAUUAGUUAUGUUCUUUAAACUUAAAAAAUUUGGCGGUAUUUUAGUCUGUUCAGAGGAACCUGUUCUAUAAUCGAUAAUCCACGAUGGACCUAACUUAAUUUUGUAAUCAGUUUAUAUACCGUUGUUAUUAGAAUAUUUUAUAAGAAAGUUAAUUUUCGUAAUUUUAUAAUUUAAAAUUAUAUCAGAUCAAGGUGUAGCUUAUAUUUAAGUAGAAAUGGGUUACAAUAAAAUUAUUUAUAUGAAUAUAAAUUUGCAAUAUUUAUUGAAGGUGGAUUUGAUAGUAAAAUUAUAAAGAUAAAUAAUUUGAUUUUAGCUCUAAAAUAUGUACAAAUCGCCCGUCACUCUCUGA